rnacentral:rRNA from 1 species
CUACGGGGUGCUCCAGUGGGGAAUAUUGCACAAUGGGCGCAAGCCUGAUGCAGCCAUGCCGCGUGUAUGAAGAAGGCCUUCGGGUUGUAAAGUACUUUCAGCGGGGAGGAAGGGAGUAAAGUUAAUACCUUUGCUCAUUGACGUUACCCGCAGAAGAAGCACCGGCUAACUCCGUGCCAGCAGCCGCGGUAAUACGGAGGGUGCAAGCGUUAAUCGGAAUUACGGGGCGUAAAGCGCACGCAGGCGGUUUGUUAAGUCAGAUGUGAAAUCCCCGGGCUCAACCGGGGAACUGCAUCUGAUACUGGCAAGCUUGAGUCUCGUAGAGGGGGGUAGAAUUCCAGGUGUAGCGGUGAAAUGCGUAGAGAUCUGGAGGAAUACCGGUGGCGAAGGCGGCCCCCUGGACGAAGACUGACGCUCAGGUGCGAAAGCGUGGGGAGCAAACAGGAUUAGAUACCCCGGUAGUC